AACGAACGCUGGCGGCAUGCCGAACACAUGCAAGUCGAACGAGACCUUCGGGUCUAGUGGCGCACGGGUGCGUAACGCGUGGGAACCUGCCCUUAGGUUCGGAAUAACUCCCCGAAAGGGGUGCUAAUACCGGAUAAUGUCUUCGGACCAAAGAUUUAUCGCCUUUGGAUGGGCCCGCGUUGGAUUAGCUAGUUGGUAGGGUAAAAGCCUACCAAGGCGACGAUCCAUAGCUGGUCUGAGAGGAUGAUCAGCCACACUGGGACUGAGACACGGCCCAGACUCCUACGGGAGGCAGCAGUGGGGAAUAUUGGACAAUGGGCGAAAGCCUGAUCCAGCAAUGCCGCGUGAGUGAUGAAGGCCUUAGGGUUGUAAAGCUCUUUUACCCGGGAUGAUAAUGACAGUACCGGGAGAAUAAGCUCCGGCUAACUCCGUG
rnacentral:rRNA from 1 species